CCCCGAGAGAUUGUUCCUCGCACCGCCUAGAGCUGUGAGUUCAUGUGCAACAUUGGCUGUCAUCAUUCGGCCUCCACUCCACUGCCUUGCACUCUGCCUAGAUCCCUUCCACUGGGUUUGUGCCAUCUUCUUCCCAUAGCUUCUCGAUUUCUUGCCUCUUUCCUUGCUGCUUCCGUUUGCAGGUUGACCAUGGAGAGCCCAAUAGGAGCUCUUGACAUGGCCUAGUCACCCACGGUGAUCGCAGAUCGGUUUUCCUUCAGAAGUCCACCUCUGCCUCUGCCAAUUCUCACUCAAGUUCCUGGCCGCAAAGGCUCCCAACUCAGUUCCCCCAUCAGGCGUGUGUGCUGCGUCUCUAGAUCGAGCCAUAGCGUGUUGUUUUUCCUCCUCCGAAAUCAUCAGAUAAACCUUACUCAUUGUCGAUAAGGAUUCGAUUCUAAUGAUGUCAGACCACACGCCACAGAACUCAUCAUCCAAUCCCAUCAAAAAGUGGAGAUUUGGAUGCUCAGAUCGCGCAGCUUCAGCAGCUGUCACCAGCAGGCCCUAGUCCUCACUCCUGAGCUCUCCCUCUCUACUCACAGAUGCUGGCACCAUCCACCCUGCGAGGUCGUCAACGGCCUUAGUGGUCACCAGCGACCUCGUGGUGGUAGGUGUUGGUUGGCAGCGGGAUUAGCAGUGCAGAAGAGGUGGAUCGGGUUAUGUCAUAGAGGGUUCGACUCUGUGAGUGCUUGAAUUUUUAUUAUUCUUAUAAUAUUUCUAUUGAGUCAAUCGAGUCAUGUGCAAUGCACAUUAUAAUUGUAAUGGAAAUACUAACGAUAGAAGGUACAUCUUCCCCUAAUCAUGGUUGAGAGUGCAGAUGUUCCCAAAAAAUAAACUAGAGGAUAACCAACGUGGAUUGGUUCAAAGCGUUUUGACAUUUA